UGGGGAAUCUUCCGCAAUGGACGAAAGUCUGACGGAGCAACGCCGCGUGAGUGAAGAAGGUUUUCGGAUCGUAAAACUCUGUCUUUUGGGGCGAACGUGAGUAUGGUGAACAAUCAUAGUCAGUGACGGUACCAAAGGAGGAAGCCACGGCUAACUACGUGCCAGCAGCCGCGGUAAUACGUAGGUGGCAAGCGUUGUCCGGAAUUAUUGGGCGUAAAGAGCGCGUAGGCGGGAUAGUCAGUCUGUUGUAAAAGUGCGGGGCUCAACCCCGUGAUCGCAAUGGAAACAGCUAUUCUUGAGUGCAGGAGAGGAAAGUGGAAUUCCCAGUGUAGCGGUGAAAUGCGUAGAUAUUGGGAGGAACACCAGUGGCGAAGGCGACUUUCUGGACUGUGUCUGACGCUGAGGCGCGAAAGCCAGGGGAGCGAACGGGAUUAGAUACCCCGGUAGUCCUGGCCGUAAACGAUGGGUACUAGGUGUGGGAGGUAUCGACCCCUUCCGUGCCGGAGUUAACGCAAUAAGUACCCCGCCUGGGGAGUACGGUCGCAAGACUGAAACUCAAAGGAAUUGACGGGGUCAUAGCUG
rnacentral:rRNA from 1 species